rnacentral:rRNA from 1 species
AAAGUCCUCGCUUUGAAACUAGAUAACAACUUUCAGCAGUGGAUGUCUAGGCUCGCACAUCGAUGAAGAACGCUGCGAACUGCGAUACGUAAUGCGAAUUGCAGGAUUCAGUGAGUCAUCGAACUUUUGAACGCAUAUUGCACUUUCGGGUUACGCCUGGAAGUAUGUCUGUAUCAGUGUCCGUACACUAAACUUGCGUCUCUUCCGUCGUGUAGUCGUCGGUUGUUUGAUUGCAGAUGUGAGGUUGUCUCGCGAUCCGUUGCUUGUCGACAGGGUUGCGAGUCCCUUUAAAGUCGGACGCGUGUUUUUCCGUUUUGUGCUUGAUGGGGUGCGGCUGCGGCCGUGUCUGCUGGCGGGUCUGGUGACCUUUGGCGAUGGCAUGAGAGUGGAUUGCUCGAUUUGCGGUAUGUUAGGCUUCGGCUUUGACAAU